rnacentral:rRNA from 1 species
GACGGAGGAUGCAAGCGUUUGUUCGGAAUUAUUGGGCGUAAAGCGCGUGUAGGCGGCUUUGCAAGUCGGGUGUGAAAGCCCUCAGCUUAACUGAGGAAGUGCGCCCGAAACUGCAGAGCUUGAAUACCGGAGAGGAUGGCGGAAUUCCCCAAGUAGAGGUGAAAUUCGUAGAUAUGGGGAGGAACACCGGUGGCGAAGGCGGCCAUCUGGACGGCUAUUGACGCUGAGACGCGAAAGCGUGGGGAGCAAACAGG